rnacentral:rRNA from 1 species
AGAUGGUGACAUGGAGCAAAUCCCAAAAAUAACGUCCCAGUUCGGAUUGCAGCCUGCAACUCGGCUGCAUGAAGCUGGAAUCGCAAGUAAUCGCGGAUCAGAAUGCCGCGGUGAAUACGUUCCCGGGUCUUGUACACACCGCCCGUCACACCAUGGGAGUCGGAAAUGCCCGAAGUCUGUGACCCAACCGAAAGGAGGGAGCAGCCGAAGGCAGGUCGGAUGACUGGGGUGAAGUCGUAACAAGGUACC